rnacentral:sRNA from 1 species
CUUGGACCAAUCGGAAUGAAACAGGAAGCAUAUUUUGAAAGCAAAAUUGCGAUUAAACUAAGUUAUUAAGCUUAAUUAUUACUUAGGGUACUCUUCCCCCAAAACUCUAUCCGAAGCUAACGGCACCGUUGUUUUUAAAUCUACAGACGAGUGUCCGUAGAUCUUAUCAAAAUAUUUAUACAAUGUCAAAUCAUUUUUGAAUGAAGGCCAAAUAACCGCCGGUCACUUGAGUUUUAUAAGACUUGGCCGAAAAAUUCGUUAAAUCUCUAGAUCUGAGAAACGAGAAACUGGCUGUUCCCCUGCCGCGAUCUCCGCUGUUGCCAUCCCGCUCUGAUGCGGCGGCUGUCAACGCUAUCAACGUCACUGACGCCAUCCCCGUCUCUUUUCCACGCUGGGGGAUGAUCUCAUCUCGCUUUAACCUGUCUAGCCACUAAAUCAAAGUCAAAGAAGCCAGUGACACAUUUUUGCCCCAUCGACCGAACAACAAAAAGAAAAAAAAAAACAGCAUUCUACACCAAAACACACAUACGUAAAAUUAAUGAUGGCAUCUUUAUUAAAAAUAAAUGCUGAUAGCUUGAAAAAUGGGUUUCUCGCAAAGCAAACACUUCGUGCAUCAGCCUGAAAAGUGUAGAGGGCUAGUGUGAACACACCCAAAAAGAUUGCGACCGGAUGCUGACGCGUCAUCGAUGUCGAUUGCAUCCAGUAGUUGGGAAUUUUUUGUGCACUUUGCAUGUGAGUGGCAAUUGGGCUUUGAUUGAUUUCGAAAUGCCAGGCGGCGCCCCAUUUUAUUUCGCUUCUUCUCUUUCUUGUGCGCUUUUGUCAUAAAUCUUGCAUAAAUCGAUUUAAUCUGCCCCUGGCCACGCCCACCUGCUGGUGGGCCCCUCAAUUAAUUAUACUUUUUCAAUGUCAAAAUGUCGCUGCAAGAAAGGUGCGCCGGCGUUUUAACCCUUUUUUAUGUACGUAUUAGUUGACUGCGUGAAUCUUGAGGCGCCUGCAACAUGGAAUCUGUAAGCAGCGUCUGAUCCUGCGGCUUAGCCUUCUUUUCUAAUUGCAGGUUUUCCAACGCCCCGAUGUGAAGGUCACUGACAGCAUUAAGUGCACUGGAAAAACUUGAAUGAGGUAUUUUCCUUCUCAAAUAAUAUAUUUUUCAAGUGUACUGCCGUUAAUGCUGCUGCUGCCGUGGGUGCAGCCGUUGAAUGUUGCAUGCUGCCAGUACGUUCAACUUUUGCAGUUAACAGUUAGAUUUUGAAAUGGCCAGCAGCACUGGCAUCGUCGUCGGCAUUGGUAUCGGUUCUCUGGGAUUCCAGUUUUCUGGCCACGGCCUGAGAACCCGGCGAUCAAGAUGCGCAGCUCCACGACGACGGAAGGAAAUUGCCGUCCGAGGCGAAGUUGCAGCUCCGAUCGCAGCAUUGCGCACAUCAAAUAAAUACUUGUACUUGGCAAUUUUUGUGUUAAAACAAAAUUAAAGCAAUGGCAGCCAUGCUGCUGCGGUGUAACAUUAA